CGCAAUCACUGGCGCCCCUGCCAGAGACCGUGGAGGCAGACCCGUUCCUCCCUGCUGCAUUUUUUUUGGAUGACAAGAUUUAGAAGCUAUAUAUGGUGAUCGAGGGGUGUGCCUUCAACCUCGUCGAAGUCGUCCCUAGACUGCCACUGGCGAGGCCCCCUCACCGGGCGCCCCCUUGCAGAACAUGCGGCAGCAUCCCUAGCUCGUCAAGAGGUCAGCUAAAAUCGAUCUGUGAUUCUCGCCGUCUGCGAUCUCGCUGGCUGCUGGCGGAUUCAUCCAAAGUCCGGAUUUUCAUCUGCACCACCUCUGAGGCCAAGUGCAAAGAGCUCGCCGAGGCUAGGCAUCCCAAGAACGACCUCUACCAGUGCUUCCCCCACCUCAAGAACUAGUAAGCAGCAGCAUAUGCCUGCUCUGGCAAGAGGCAUAUGCUCUAUCAGAACCACAAAGAGAGAGAACUUUUGUGAUCCACUAGUAUUGUUAUCAUCAUUAUGUACGUAAUGACUUGCAACAUCGAUUGUGUGGACUUGUGAUGCCCGUGCUUGCU